AUUGAACGCUGGCGGUAUGCUUAACACAUGCAAGUCGAACGGUAACAGGCCUUCGGGCGCUGACGAGUGGCGGACGGGUGCGUAACGCGUAGGAAUCUGCCGAUUAGUGGGGGACAACUUGGGGAAACUCAAGCUAAUACCGCAUACGCCCUACGGGGGAAAGCGGGGGACCUUCGGGCCUCGCGCUAAUCGAUGAGCCUGCGUUGGAUUAGCUAGUUGGUAGGGUAAAGGCCUACCAAGGCGACGAUCCAUAGCUGGUCUGAGAGGACGAUCAGCCCCACUGGGACUGAGACACGGCCCAGACUCCUACGGGAGGCAGCAGUGGGGAAUAUUGGACAAUGGGCGAAAGCCUGAUCCAGCAAUACCGCGUGUGUGAAGAAGGCCUGAGGGUUGUAAAGCACUUUUAAUCGGGAGGAACAUCUGGUGGUUAAUACCCAUCAGUCUGACAUUACCGAUAGAAAAAGCACCGGCUAACUCCGUGCCAGCCGCCGCGGUAAAAC
rnacentral:rRNA from 1 species